rnacentral:rRNA from 1 species
AGUGAACGCUGGCGGUAGGCCUAACACAUGCAAGUCGAACGGCAGCACAGGAGAGCUUGCUCUCUGGGUGGCGAGUGGCGGACGGGCGAGGAAUACAUCGGAAUCUACUCUGUCGUGGGGGAUAACGUAGGGAAACUUACGCUAAUACCGCAUACGACCUACGGGUGAAAGCAGGGGAUCUUCGGACCUUGCGCGAUUGAAUGAGCCGAUGUCGGAUUAGCUAGUUGGCGGGGUAAAGGCCCACCAAGGCGACGAUCCGUAGCUGGUCUGAGAGGAUGAUGAGCCACACUGGAACUGAGACACGGUCCAGACUCCUACGGGAGGCAGCAGUGGGGAAUAUUGGACAAUGGGCGCAAGCCUGAUCCAGCCAUACCGCGUGGGUGAAGAAGGCCUUCGGGUUGUAAAGCCCUUUUGUUGGGAAAGAAAUCCAGCUGGCUAAUACCCGGUUGGGAUGACGGUACCCAAAGAAUAAGCACCGGCUAACUUCGUGCCAGCAGCCGCGGUAA